GUGAGGAAUAUUGCGCAAUGGAGGCAACUCUGACGCAGCCAUGCCGCGUGCAGGAAGAAGGCGCUACGCGUUGUAAACUGCUUUUAACCGGGAAGAAACCCCAGGACGUGUCCUGGGUUGACGGUACCGGAGGAAUAAGCACCGGCUAACUUCGUGCCCGCAGCCGCGGUAAUACGAAGGGUGCAAGCGUUAUCCGGAUUCAUUGGGUUUAAAGGGUGCGUAGGCGGAGCGUUAAGUCAGUGGGGAAAUCCUGCAGCUUAACUGUAGACUUGCCAUUGAUACUGGCGCUCUUGAGUGCGCUUGAAGUGGGCGGAAUGUGCCGUGUAGCGGUGAAAUGCUUAGAUAUGGCACAGAACACCAAUUGCGAAGGCAGCUCACUAAGGCGAUACUGACGCUGAGGCACGAAAGCGUGGGGAUCGAACAGGAUUAGAAACCCCAGUAGUCC
rnacentral:rRNA from 1 species